rnacentral:rRNA from 1 species
GGAAUAUUGGACAAUGGGGGAAACCCUGAUCCAGCAAUGCCGCGUGUGUGAAGAAGGCCUGCGGGUUGUAAAGCACUUUCGGAGGGGACAAAACGCGUCGUUCUAACAAAGCGGCGUCUUGAUUUAACCCUCAUAAGAAGCACCGGCUAACUCUGUGCCAGCAGCCGCGGUAAUACAGAGGGUGCAAGCGUUAAUCGGACUUACUGGGCGUAAAGCGCACGCAGGCGGCUGCAUAAGCCGGUCGUGAAAUCCCCGGGCUUAACCUGGGAAUUGCGAUCGGGACUGUGCGGCUAGAGUGUUGGAGAGGACAGCGGAAUUCCCGGUGUAGCAGUGAAAUGCGUAGAUAUCGGGAGGAACAUCAGUGGCGAAGGCGGCUGUCUGGCCAAACACUGACGCUCAGGUGCGAAAGCGUGGGGAGCAAACA